rnacentral:lncRNA from 1 species
CUCUCACACAAUGCUCAAGCCUCUCUCUUCCCUCAUCUGCUGGCUGUAUGUCAAUGCAGGAUGAACUGGAAAGGCGUUUGUUGAAGACAGCGGAGCAUCUGUCAGGCUGUUUCUGAAAGACUGUGGAGCAGAAUACCCUGAAUUUCCACUGCCUCUAAUUGAUAUUAUGGAGCUGCUGCAGCCAUUUUUCUGCCACAAGCAAAUGCUAAACCUUCGAAGCAGCACCACACAGUUCCUGGGUUAUAAAGGCUUUGUUCCUCAGAUGCUCAGGUCCCCAGAAGGUCAGCUCUCUGGGGCAGGCCAAGCCUGUAGUGUUCACUGGCUUCUCCACAAGCUUAGUGCCCAGCACUGUGCCAGACACCAAGAUGUCAGUGGUGAACAAGACAGUCUCAGCCUCCCAUGCUCAUGGCCUGAUUGAUAGAAUUUCUAGUGCCUUCGCCCCACUUCCCAGACACCAUCAGUGUCAAAUUCUGCUGGCCUGUCACCCAUUAAAAAUACACAUCACCUUGA